UACGUAGGGUGCGAGCGUUGUCCGGAAUUACUGGGCGUAAAGAGCUCGUAGGUGGUUUGUCGCGUUGUUCGUGAAAACCUGAGGCUUAACCUUGGGCGUGCGGGCGAUACGGGCAGACUGGAGUACUGCAGGGGAGACUGGAAUUCCUGGUGUAGCGGUGGAAUGCGCAGAUAUCAGGAGGAACACCGGUGGCGAAGGCGGGUCUCUGGGCCGAUACUGACGCUGAGGCGCGAAAGCCAGGGGAGCGAACGGG
rnacentral:rRNA from 1 species